GCAGUCGAGCGGCAGCACAGGGAGUUUACUCCUGAGGUGGCGAGCGGCGGACGGGUGAGUAAUGCCUAGGGAUCUGCCCAGUCGAGGGGGAUAACAGUUGGAAACGACUGCUAAUACCGCAUACGCCCUACGGGGGAAAGAGGGGGACUUUCGGGCCUCUCGCGAUUGGAUGAACCUAGGUGGGAUUAGCUAGUUGGUGAGGUAAUGGCUCACCAAGGCGACGAUCCCUAGCUGUUCUGAGAGGAUGAUCAGCCACACUGGGACUGAGACACGGCCCAGACUCCUACGGGAGGCAGCAGUGGGGAAUAUUGCACAAUGGGGGAAACCCUGAUGCAGCCAUGCCGCGUGUGUGAAGAAGGCCUUCGGGUUGUAAAGCACUUUCAGUAGGGAGGAAAGGUUGUAAGUUAAUACCUUGCAGCUGUGACGUUACCUACAGAAGAAGGACCGGCUAACUCCGUGCCAGCAGCCGCGGUAAUACGGAGGGUCCAAGCGUUAAUCGGAAUUACUGGGCGUAAAGCGUGCGCAGGCGGUUUGUUAAGCGAGAUGUGAAAGCCCCGGGCUCAACCUGGGAAUUGCACUUCGAACUGGCAAACUAGAGUCUUGUAGAGGGGGGUAGAAUUCCAGGUGUAGCGGUGAAAUGCGUAGAGAUCUGGAGGAAUACCGGUGGCGA
rnacentral:rRNA from 1 species